rnacentral:rRNA from 1 species
UACAGAGGUCCCAAGCGUUGUUCGGAAUCACUGGGCGUAAAGCGUGCGUAGGCCGCACGGUAAGUCAGUGGUGAAAUCCCGGAGCUCAACUUCGGAAUUGCCUCCGAUACUGCCGUGCUUGAGGACUGGAGAGGAGAUUGGAAUUCACAGUGGAGCAGUGAAAUGCGCAGAUAUCAGGAGGAACACCGAUGGCGAAGGCAGGUCUCUGGGCAUUAACUGACGCUGAGGAGCGAAAGCAUGGGGAGCGAACAGG